AGUGAACGCUGGCGGUAGGCCUAACACAUGCAAGUCGAACGGCAGCACAGUAAGAGCUUGCUCUUACGGGUGGCGAGUGGCGGACGGGUGAGGAAUACAUCGGAAUCUACUUUUUCGUGGGGGAUAACGUAGGGAAACUUACGCUAAUACCGCAUACGACCUACGGGUGAAAGCAGGGGACCUUCGGACCUUGCGCGUUUGAAUGAGCCGAUGUCGGAUUAGCUAGUUGGCGGGGUAAAGGCCCACCAAGGCGACGAUCCGUAGCUGGUCUGAGAGGAUGAUCAGCCACACUGGAACUGAGACACGGUCCAGACUCCUACGGGAGGCAGCAGUGGGGAAUAUUGGACAAUGGGCGCAAGCCUGAUCCAGCCAUACCGCGUGGGUGAAGAAGGCCUUCGGGUUGUAAAGCCCUUUUGUUGGGAAAGAAAAGCAGCAGGUUAAUACCCCGCUGUUCUGACGGUACCCAAAGAAUAAGCACCGGCUAACUUCGUG
rnacentral:rRNA from 1 species